ACCAGCGGCGAGUAAACGAGGAACCGACCGGUUCACUUUGACCUCCUCUCGUAGAUUCAUACCCGCACGCAACUCCCGAAUUAGCUGGGGCACUAGAAAAACCGCAGGUCACCCACGUCCUUCUCCAACCUGCAAGACUAUCCCACGUCCCUCACACAGCACGAAAGAAAAACAGCCCAAAAUUUCCUCGUGAUGGCCCCGACGGCCGCCGCGACCUCCUCCUGAUGCUGCUCCGCCUCGAGGACGCCACACCACGAUUCGCACCGGCGCCUCAUCAGCCGUGCCCUCCCGGCCUCCCCACAGCCUCCUCUCCCCGCGCCCCCGCGAUGUCGUCCUGCGCACCACCGCUUCUCUGGGCGCUCAGAUCCGGGGCUCCCCACAAUUCCCGAGGCCUCCGCUGGUGAUCCGUAGCGAGGAGGAGCCGGCGGCAGGGAAGGGAACGGGCACCAUGGACUACACGUCGGAAGACAAGCACGGAGGACGUUCGCGGCAUCGGGUACCACCCCGUCCCCGCCGGUUACUCGUGCAGGAGUCCAUGCUCGACUGGGUACCGCUCUCUCCACCAGCUGCCUCGUCUGGGAGACCGCCCACUUUGUAGUUGGCCUCAAUGUAUAGAGCUCCUUCAAUCAGAUCGCCUCAUAUUUCUUUGUAUUUAUGCCAGGGAAAAUGCCAACCCAGUCAGCUACCUUCUGGAUAUCAUGUUUUGGUGACUGCUUCAGGAUUACGGGAGGAAGUUGGAGUAAAUCCUUGUGUGUUGGCUUCAAUUUUUGGGUUUGGAUAUCUACCCAACAUAUAAACUGACUGCUGUACAAGGGAAGUUCUGUAUUUGUGAGAUAAGUUUCUAUAAUGCAGAACUGCAAGAAUAACCCUAGAACCAUCUUUACAGUCUGAUGUUACUUAAUAAUAAAUAAUUAGUUACAUAUACCAGAGGAUUUAAAUGCUUAGCAUUUCAUGUAUUAGUUAGAAAUUGAUGUGUGAUUUGAAGGCUCAUAUUGGCUUUUCAUUAUCCUUCUUUUUCUCUGAAAGGCUAGAGAGAAAGCGUUAAAGAAAGCUUCACAGUUUUGUCAAUGAUCAAAAUUUUGUAGCUAAUGAUUAUUUACCCAUGUUUGCAUGAUGUUAUGUAAGUGAUUCUCUCUCUUUUUCUUUCUUUUCCACAUUUUAAAAUUGCAGAUAUUGACUAUGAGAUGAAAUUGUCAUUGUUCAUAAUUUAAAUGUUUGACAAAAGGCCGGAGCGAAGAAUGCUAGCUUCUUAAUGCUACUUCACGGGUUUCCAUGUCGAUGUUGCCCCUUUUGGACGGAGAUGGUUGUGUCAAAGGUGUCAAUGGCACAUGUUCUUCGCCAUAUCAGGCCUCUCAUGUGCCUACCUCAUGAAGCCAUUGAUCUGGUACUACAUAGACUAAGGACGGGCUGAAGAAAAUGUGAGCCAUGGGAGGAGAGAUUUACUGGAGCAAGGUGAACGACGGUGCAGCGACCAGAUGGGAGACGCCGGGAAUGCAUGUUUUUCGUUCUUGAUGCCUUGGCUGUCGUACACAAAAGUGGAUGGGAGAUCUGCAAGUUAAAGCAAAUAUCAUGGUAUUCCUCUCAUGCACCUUGGCGUCACAUAUACCCUCAUAACCUCUGCGUCUCUGCCUUUACCGUUCGUCGCUUCUCUGUUCCUGACAAGUAUGGACUUCUCUUUCACUUCCUUGCUUGUGUAUAGAUGCUAUGAUGUAUUGUAAUAUGGAUUGGAUUUCAUAUACAUGUACUAUAUUGAUUUUAAGUGUUACACACAUGGCUCUUGGUUGUGUAACGACUCUUCUUCUAAUUGAUACGACAACAUUUCUUGUUCAUGCUGUAACUAUGAUCAUGCUUUAAGUAAUUUUUAUUACUGAUGUGAAUGCACUCA